rnacentral:rRNA from 1 species
CCUACGGGGCGCAGCAGUGGGGAAUAUUGCACAAUGGGGGAAACCCUGAUGCAGCGACGCCGCGUGAGCGAUGAAGUAUUUCGGUAUGUAAAGCUCUAUCAGCAGGGAAGAAAAUGACGGUACCUGACUAAGAAGCCCCGGCUAACUACGUGCCAGCAGCCGCGGUAAUGCGUAGGGGGCAAGCGUUAUCCGGAUUUACUGGGUGUAAAGGGAGCGUAGACGGCCAUUCAAGCCAGAUGUGAAAGCCCGGGGCUCAACCCCGGGACUGCAUUUGGAACUGUAUGGCUGGAGUGUCGGAGAGGCAG